UGACAAUUAUUUUAUUUUGCUGCAAUGUUUGGUAAACUGCCAUUAUGCCCAAUAUUUUUGUCUUUUCAUUUUAGGUCUACCCUUAGAUGAUCUAUACCUGAUUCUGUGUUCUAAAGUGAUCUGCUUUCACAGCUACAUUUCUGUGUUCUUUUCUGUUGGUCUAUGGUUCUGAAUUGAGGCAGGGCAUAUCUUUUUAUGCUAUGUCACUAAGUACUAUAGGGAAAAAAAAUAACUGAAGUUCAUUGAGGUCUCUUCUGAUUCUCCUGAUAUGCAUCUCAACUGAUUUUUAUUUGCUUUUUAACAUCCAUUUCAUAGUGGUACGUGUGGCUUUGAUUAAUAUUACCAUAAAGACUGCCGAAAAUAGGUGUGGUACGAAAACUCAGAAAUGGCAUGAGUUCAACAUCAAACAUGGAUUAGAAUUUUAGCGGUGGAUCAAGUCAAGUUUGGGAGUGUUACAGGAUGGAAGAGUCGGCCUGUAGUUGAAAAAACACUGAGAAUGCAUUACCAUUAAGGUAUAAGUUCUGUCACAGCUAGAUGCCUCAAAUAACUCUGCUUCUCUGGCUAAAGAACAACUUGUCGUUUACGUUCAGAGUGUUGGUGAAACUGGGUACUUAAAUGGCCCUAAAGAUGUUUCACUUCGCUGCGAUUGCGGCGAUGAACAUCAUAUAUGGAUGCUUUAGGUAUGAAAGGAAUUUGCUUCAAAUAAUUUUGAAUUUAUGAUGAAGCAUUUCUCCCCUUUUUGCCAACCAUGUCUAAUCUACAAAAAAAAAGUUUAUCCAAUAGGAAAGGAUUUUCAUAUACUGGGAACACUACUAUCAACAAUGCAACAUUCUAUGUGUGCUAGUUUAUCAUUCAAGAGCCUUGUGCAAUCAUGUUAAUCUGCAAUUUGUAUGCCAUUUCCGAAGCCUCCACCAGAAGUUAAUAGUAACAUUGGAUCUGAAAAGAUUCUUGGUUGGGGCAAGACACUGAAUAAAUUGUAAUAAUUGGAUGGAUGCCAUGACAUUUCUAUACUUCAUUCGGAUUCCCGACACGGUAUUUUAUAUUUAAAAAAUUGAAGUGCAUAUCUGGGCUCCCUUCUUUUCUGUGGCCCCGUUUCCCUUAAAUUUUUAAUAAGCCCGUAGGGGGUCAUGCCCCUACUGUACGGUAUAUAUAAAAACAACAUAUACCGAGGUUUGGAGGGCUCUGGCCGGAAAGGGGACGUGGGGUGUCCGCUUAGUCCGAUGAAGUCUUCACGGAGGGCGACGUGGCUGCCCACAAAUCCGAAUUAAUGGCUAAUCGCUCCUGUAAAAAUGUUCCAUAUCUUCGGCUCUUCUUCCGGCUUCUCUUAGCCAAUCACCGGGUAAUCUCCCCGGUGGGUCAACAAGGCAGUGUCUCCCCCUGCCUGGGUUGACGGCAACUUCUGAAAGGGCUGUUAUGCCUUUUUAGAGUUGCAAAAAAAAUUGUAA